rnacentral:rRNA from 1 species
UACGGAGGGUGCGAGCGUUACCCGGAAUCACUGGGCGUAAAGCGCGUGUAGGCGGUCCGGUAAGUCCGCUGUGAAAGUCGAGGGCUCAACCCUCGAAUGCCGGUGGAUACUGUCGGGCUAGAGUGCGGAAGAGGCGAGUGGAAUUCCUGGUGUAGCGGUGAAAUGCGCAGAUAUCGGGAGGAACACCAAUUGCGAAGGCAGCUCGCUGGGACGUCACUGACGCUGAGACGCGAAAGCGUGGGGAGCAAACAGG